rnacentral:rRNA from 1 species
AUUGAACGCUGGCGGCAUGAUUUACACAUGCAAGUCGAACGGUAACAGGCCGCAAGGUGCUGACGAGUGGCGAACGGGUGAGUAAUGCAUCGGAACGUGCCCAGUCGUGGGGGAUAACUACGCGAAAGAGUAGCUAAUACCGCAUACGAUCUAUGGAUGAAAGCGGGGGACCGUAAGGCCUCUCGCGAUUGGAGCGGCCGGUGUCAGAUUAGGUAGUUGGAGGGGUAAAGGCUCACCAAGCCAACGAUCUGUAGCUGGUCUGAGAGGACGACCAGCCACACUGGGACUGAGACACGGCCCAGACUCCUACGGGAGGCAGCAGUGGGGAAUUUUGGACAAUGGGCGCAAGCCUGAUCCAGCAAUGCCGCGUGCAGGAAGAAGGCCUUCGGGUUGUAAACUGCUUUUGUACGGAACGAAACGGCUCUGGUUAAUACCCGGGGCUAAUGACGGUACCGAAAGAAUAAGCACCGGCUAACUACGUG